UAUUUGAUAGUUUAAAUAAAAUAUUAUAUUUUGAUUAUAAAGAUGUGAAUCUCAGAUAAU
rnacentral:tRNA from 1 species